AAAAAAGGCGUGCAGAGGAAGAUGUUCUCACAGCAGCAAGGAAGCACAAGCCAAUACUUCCGAAUGGGCUAAGAGACAGAGGAAAAGGGAAUGUGCAUCAUGAUGAAGAAGCUUGGAAAUUACGAGGUGAACAUUCAGCAGGAGUUAGGCAUAGAAGACAAAAAUCUGCUUAGAAACCAGCUUGAACAUCUAGCAUCAACAUAGACUGAUGCCUUGCAUGAAGUAGAAGGUAAAAUGGUACUUAGGGAAUCUAAUAGCACCCAUUUAGUACAGCAAAAACACUCUCCACAGUGUGAAACAGGAGUUUAGAAGAAGGGAAUAUCGCAGGGAACUCUGGUGUUGCGUAUAAGAGGAUUAGAGUCCGAUGUAACAAAGCAAAGCAUGUCAGAAAAAAAAAAGGAAAGAAAAGAAAAAGGGAAAACAACAGCUGAAAGUUCACAGUGUAAUGGCAAUCAAAGGCAGAGAGAGCACACUGGAAAUGGAAGAAGUCUUUUGGAACCUCAAAGCCCAUUUCCAGCAAUACAGCUCCUUCAACAAGGCCACACCUCCUCAUCCUUCCAAAACAGUUCCACCAACCCGGGACCAAGUAUUUAAACAUAUGAGGAUAUGAGAACCAAAUUUAUUCAAGCCACCAUAGCCAACAACUGACUUUGAGAAUGCUGAAAAAGUAGAUUGAGAAGUUUGACUGUGUAGUUUCCUUCGAGGCGACUGGCUGAGAAUAUGGUUGCUAUGCUGAAGAAAUCCGAAAUAAAACAAUAGACUUGAUUCUAGCUAAGGCGUCAACCGCUCUACUUUGGCUCUCCCAGUACGAUUUCCUGUGAUGAGAACUGUUUUGGGACAAAUAGAUAACUGUCUUCUUCACCCCUAAUCAAGGAAACUUCUCUUUGGAAAAGACAAGGAUCUUUACAGAAAAUCACAACCAAUCAAAAUGCACAGUUGUGGAGUACAGUCCUAACGAAUACGUCUACAAAACAAUUCUCUUUUUUAUAAUAGAUAUUUUAUUUAAUUACAUUGCUAAUGUUAUCCCCUUUCCCAGUUUCCCCUCCAGAAAUUCCCUAAUCCUUCCACCCUCCCCCUGCUUCUAUGAGGAUGCUCACCCACCCACCCACUCUCAUCUCCCCACCCUGGCAUUCACCUAUGUUGGGGCAUCAAGCCUUGGCAGGACCAAAGGCUUCUCCUCCCAUUGGUACCCUACAAGGCCAUCCUCUGCUACAUACAUGGCUGGAGCCAUGGAUCCCUCCAUGUGUCCUCUUUGGUUGGUGGUUUAGUCCCUAGGAGGUCUGGGUGUGGGGGGAAGUCUGCUUGGUUGAUAUUGUUGUUCUUCCUAAGGGGUUGCAAACCCCUUCAGCUCUUUCAGUACUUUCUCUAACUUCUCCACUGGGGUCUUGGGGAUCAUGGUGGAAGAAGGGACUGAAAAACUAAGAACCAGAAAAGCAGACAGCUUGCUCUGAGACUGUCUGCUAGUAAUGUCAGAAGCUACACUCAUAAAAUCCCACACACAUGGCUGUCUUAACAUGAGCCAACAAAGACAAUAGACUUACUAACAAGGGUAGAGGAAAGUCCACGAGGUCUCAACCCAACACAAAGAACUAUAGGCAACUAAUGAAUUUUGAGUACCAAAUAAAUAGUCUUCCUCAGGGAAGAAGACACCAAUUGAUCUAAUUAAUCUAAUACCAAAUGUUUUCAGCCUUGAAAACAUGCAUACAAGUAACAUUGUAUAGACUAAGUAGGUUAUAUACAUAUACAUCAUAUAUACAUCAUAUUUAGGAAUAUAUAAAUAAACUUAGGAAUUUAUAUGUUAUAUUUAGAAAAUAUAAUUACAUUUAGGAAUAUAUACAUAUACAUAUAUAUACAUAUAUAUAUAUAUAUAUCUCCAUUAUGAAAAAGAGGCCUUGAAGCAAGGGGCAAGGAGGAUCAGAGAGUUGAAAAGGAAGAAAUGAUGCAAUUACAUAAUAAUCUCAACAAUAAAUAAGUAUAAUAUAAAGUUUGACUACCUUUCACGCACAGUAAAUUAUGUAAGUUAGCCUAUUUAUAUUAACAAGUGUGCAUUUAACGAAUUCUUAUGGAGUAAAAAUACUGAGUAACAAACUCAGAUCCAACAUAGAAGUUGUUCCUAAGUCCACAUGCCCCUUCCCAGUCUCCUCGCCCCCAAAGCUGACGUUCUGCCAUCUUUAUGGUUUUCCCCAUUGAAAUGAAAUAGCGUAACGUGAACUCUUUGUGUCCGGCUCCUCUUGUCCAAUGUUUGCUGCUAGGCUUGUGUGCUCUUGGGUGUACUUGUGGUCCAGGUGCUUGAGUAUCCAUCGUGUGAGCUCACCACACCUUGCUUAUCCAUUGUGCCCCUACUGCAUGGUAGGCUGUUUUCAGUUGUUUGGUCAUUAUGAGUGACCCCAUUGUAAGCACACUUCACUCCCUUUGUGGAUUAUGAAAUCACUUUAUUAUAAUGAACUCACAAGUAAUAUCAUAAAAUUAGAUUAAGGUAGCUGGUCAAGUGCUUGCCGGUUCCUAACUCUGUGCAUCCCAGUGAACUUCUACACAUUUAGAAGAGCCAUUCUAGAACCAUAGAGCUUUGCAUAGUGUUUUAUUCCUUCAUUGUAAAUUUCAUUAUUGUGCCCUUAUCCAUCACAGAAAAAGGAAAAAGUUUAUGGGUUUAUGACUCAGAGUUAAGUAUUAGAGCUACUGGAUCAUAGGCUAUAAUGAUCAAUAUUUAUUGCUGAAAUUUUUAAAAGGUGAAUUUGCCGAUUUAUAUUUCCAUGUCAGGUGCACAAACGUUGGACCACACACUCACCACAACUUCACUCCAAACAAGGAACUUCUUGUUUCAUUAGAUUUUUACCUGUUACAGGGAAUUGUUGAUGUGGAUCCCACUUUAAUUAAAUUAGUAGACAUUGUGGUCUGUCUUCCCUAACAUCUGGCCAGGGUAUCUCUGAGUUCCUGUGUUCUGGUUUCACAGUGAUGAGUCUAGGUCUAGGUGCUGGUUUGAAUAGAAAUGGCUCCCAUAGACUCAUGUGUGUGGAUGCUUGGCCCACAGGGAGUGGCACUAUUAGGAGGUGUGGUGUUGUUGGAUUUGGUGUGACCUUUUGGAGGAAGAGUGUCACUGUGGAGGUGGACUCUGAGGUCCCAAGUCUGACCAAUGUGUCACAGUCUUCUACUGCCUGGGCAUCAAGAUGUAGAACUCUCGGCUCCUUCUCCAGCACCAUGUCAGCCUGUGCGCCGCCAUGCUUCCCGCCACGAUGACAAUGGACUAAACCUCUGAACUGUAAGGCAGCCCUGAUUAAGUGUUAUCUUUUUAAAAAUGUUGCUAUGAUCAUGGUAUCUCUUCACAGCAAUAAAACCCCUAACUAAGAC